rnacentral:sRNA from 1 species
UUCGCCUCAGUAGCACAUGUUCGUGCAC